CGGCCCGCCGCGCGGCCGCCUGAGCUGCGAGCUGAGGAGGCCCCUUGGCUUUUCCCGCAAAGGGCGGGGGGCGCAUUUUCUCUCCUGCCAGCCCGCUCCAUCCUGGUCGUUUAUUCCCGGCCUCCCUUCACCCCCAACCCCCACAGCCUGCUGUAUGUAAAUAGGCAAAUAGAUCUACACGGACACAAUAAUUUAGCUUGUUUGGUCUUUGGCAUUUUCUACAAGACCCCAAGAGAUGGACUUUCCUCUCCCCUUCCUCCUUUUAGAACUGGCAUCCUUCAUCUCUGUCUAUGCAGGCCCAAUUAUACAGAUCCUCGGGGCUCCAAUAGGGUCUGAGUCAUUGAAACCAGGAACACCUGGCUGAAACAUUCCACAUAAUUAGAUUUUCUUUUUCUUUACCUUUUCUUUCUUUCUUUUUUUUAAAUAAGAGGUCUAGAAUUAGCCUUUUCGACUGGGGCGGAGUAGCUGGGGUGGGGGAAAGGAACACCUUCAUACAACUUCCAGCUUUCAGUCCCUUGGAGAGAUCUCCAAGUUCCCCCGAGCCGCCGGGACUUCCUUUCCUCGAUCUCUCGGCCGCCUCCUCCUCCUUCUCCGAUCGUGGUUUUUUUUUCCCCUCCCCUCACUGUCUUCUCUGCGGUUUAAUUAAAGUUCAGCGACUCCACUUGCCUCUCCUCUCAUUUCUUUCGGAAAGCGGAAACCUGACGACCCAGCGGCCACGGGCCGAGCCGCCCCAACUCAACCCCAGCAGGACGCUGGAGGGGCCUCCCUCGCCUGCCUCCCUUCGCCGGCGCUGGCCUCCCGCACCCGGGUCUGCAGUCCCUCCGCCAUCUCGCAGGAGCCCAGAGAUGCCCGGGAGGACGGGGCCCCGGACGGAAGCAGAAAAACACUUAUGGCCGCCGGAGAGUGGGGAGAGCCAGGCUAGGGCUCCGGCAGGCCCAGGUCCCUUUCUAGGCUCUUUAUUUAAAAAUGUAAAAGGAGGAGUUGAGGCGCCUUGAAUUUUCCUUCGCGAGCUUGGAGACUAGCCGAUUUUUCAUGAAGGAAGCAAAGACUUCGGUCCCGGAUCCUGCAACAUCCACCUCAUUCUCUCCAGGCCUCUCCACUUGCCCGAGCUCUCAGCCACCAGGAGACUGACGGAAGGGGCUUCUGGGCUGCGUUGGGAGCGGGCACUGUCCCCCACCCGCUCCUGUUCUGUUUCCCAAAGUCCAGCGACCUCCGACUCUCCUUGGGGGGAAAAAUACCAGUACCCAGAUACCUCUGCACCCUGUUAUAUGACUGGGCUUGCUUCAGGAAUAUCUUACAAAGAAGAAGAAGAAGAAAGAACGGCUUGGAGUCAUGUUUACAUCUAGUUCUACUGAUCCGUUCACAUCUGGAGAGUUUAUUUAUAACUCCCUCCAUAACUCUCUGUUUGGAGGCACUGGUGGCUCUAUUGACAGACUGAUGUCUAGGAAAUAUUGCUCUAUGUCUAACCGUACCUAAAUGUGCUGUGGUUGUAUUUACAGAUUUAUGUUUGAGGGAAAUAUAAUUAUUUCCAUUGUAUUUGUGCAUAUACAGUAGUUAUAAGAGCAGAUUUAUAUAUGGGGAAAUAUACGACUCUCUUACAGCCAUCCAGCUUUAUGUACAUUUGAUAUCCUGACAGAUUUAUAUCUCUGAACAGCUAUAUAGAUAAAAAUAUAUAUUGUUAGAAUUAUGUAUCAGGAGAUAUAUACUUAUUGAUUGUGAAAUAGAGUAGUUAGAGCAUUCACUUAGAGCCAUAUAUGGCUAUGGAGACAUUUCUAUAUUAUUAUCGCUAUAUAUAGGCAUAUCUGUUUAUAACUACAUAGUUAUAAAAAUAGACAUAAAUAAUUAUAGUCCUAUAUGUGCAUGCUGCAAUCUCUCUCUAGAGUUAUAGACACUCUCAAAUAUAACUCUAUAGAGAGAUCUGUAUGUAUAUAAGGUGUAAUUAUCUUGUGAUGUGUGUACGUUAGGACUUAGGCCCGUCUAUCUGAGAACAGACAUAUUUAUAUGUAGGAGCUGGGAAAGACUUGUUCACAGAUAUCUGCAGAGGGUCAACUGGAAACGCUGUAUCUGCCCUCUAGGAAACCAGCUAGCAGAGUUGUGUACUUAUGGAGGGAUGGAGUUACAAAAGGGUAAAUAGAGCUCAGGGAGCCUCAAGGAGGGAGGUGAAUGGAGGGUGGGUGGGCUCCGUUUGAACAGAUAGCGGGAGGAAAGGGGUAAACACCAGUACCCACCAGAAGGUGAGAACCGGUUUUGUGAGGGGCUGGCGCAGAAGGUGGACAAGGAGCUUGUAAAACGGGAAGCAGCGAACAGUCCUGCCAUCUCACCCUGAGACACUCCACCGAGGAAGCAGCCUUCAGUUUGGCUUUUAGUGCACUGAAAGAUAGGGACUGUCGUGUCCCUCCUGCAGUCCUAGCGCGUUUCUGUUGAACCCUAAUUUUUAGACCUCAAAGAGUGGGCUUCAGAGAUAAAGAGGUUUAGGCAGGGACAGGGCGGGGAGCGUGGGGUGUACUUUCACUUUCUGAUAAGUGAGGUAAUCCAGGAAAGUGAGUUAAUUUGGCCAAAAUAAAGCUUGUUUUUA